GAAUGUUGGGUAAAGGGAAAGGUCGUAGUCAAACCCCACAGCAACGGGAACUCAAAGUCAGCCCCGGAAGGGCUAUCCCAACUAACGGCGGGAAAGACUCCACGGAGGGUGUAAGGCCCGUGUGGGCGCGUGUUAAAGCUGUGUGGGCUCGGCCUGGAUUCCCUGAGAGUCGCGUUGCUUGAGCAUGCAGCGCUAAGCAGGUCGUAAACUCGAUCUAAGGCUAAAUAUGUCCACAGAACCGAUAGCGAACAAGUACCGUGAGGGAAAGUUGAAAAGCACUCUGGAGAGAGAGUCAAAAGACCGUGAAACCGCUCAGAGUAUAAGCCCAUGGCUGCUUGGAAGGCAUAUCGCUAGCGGGGCAUCGGUCUGCCUUCGCGGGGAGUCGGUGUUACCUUGCUUCUGUUGUGGCUCGUCAUGGAAGGGGGGUCAGGUCCACAUCCCGCCGACGUGUGGGGGGUUCUUGGGUGUGUUGUGAUUCCUCGGUUGGCUUCGGCUGGCCGGGGGGCCCUUCGUGCUCGGUUCCUCUUUAGACACGGACGUUCAGACUCAGUUGCAAGACGCGAUAAACAGCCCACCACGGCACGUUGUGAGGUCACCCACAGGCUCGACUUUCGAUCGUGAACCUUGACGCCGAGCAAGCACAAUGCGUGUCGCUGAGGUUCCUAACCAGGCAACACGCUGCCAGGAUCGUGGAACGACACGCGCUCAAAAGUCAGGUUCGGGCGGAGACUGAGUACUGGUAUGAUCCUCUUGCGACGAGCCGGCUUCUGGCCAAUAUCCGAUGCUCAGGUCUCCCGCAUGUGCCGCGGGAGAUCGCCUUGACGGUCUGGAUCUUUAACGAGUCCUCUCAGUCGGGCAACGGAUAGAGUGGUGUAAAGUCCAAGCCCAUCGGUCACGUCUCGAAACACGGGCCAAGGAGUAUAGCAUGUGUGCAAGUCUAAGAGUCUCACAAAACUCGAAGGCGAAGUGAAAGCAAGUAAGCGGCGGGUGAUCUACGGAGAGAUCCCGUCAGCUAGAGGGGCUCUCGGGCCUCU
rnacentral:rRNA from 1 species